CUUAAAAGCUUUAGAAGAGUUUAUCCUUAGAUCUGUCUGGUCAAGAGAGCUUCAAUCUUAGACUUUAAAUAUGGUCCAUAGAAUCAAGAUCUAGAAGGUUUCGGUCAUCAUCUGUUUUGUCAAGUUUCAUGGGGCUGAAACAUUAUCCUCCUCUAAUGCAAUUUGCCUAACAUGCCUCAGCUAGAGCUAAUAUGGGAUAUCCGACCAACACCCACACCAUCAAUUAACAACUCCCCGCUAAUGGCGUAUCCAGCAGCUGCAGAGCAAACGAUCGCAUCUUGAAAUGUUUCGCCACAAAAUCCACUAUCUUGUUCACUUCCCUGCAGCGCAUGUUGGAUCUCUACAGUCCACUACCGACCAAGCAUCUGUUGCACUGAGUUUCAUAGAUUCCGCAAACAAUUCUCCUCUGGUGUACUGCUCUGUAGCUGGUUAAUGGCCUCCAAACUAUCACACUCUAGCUCCACAAGCCGAUACCCUUGUUGCCAAGUCAAGUGAAGCCCCUCAGCCACCGCCUACAACUCUGCCUGCAAAAUUGAACAGAGACCAUUAUUCCUCCCAAAUCUUACUCUCCAACUCCCCCACUCAUCCCGAUCAAUGUCUUUCACUUUGAUCAUUAAUUAAUGGAGUUUUCCUAUUUUGGGGGAGCCAACUACCAUUCUUACCCCACUUCAUGCUUCUACUAUAAUCCAAUUUCUUUUACUUGAAAAUGAAGCACAGUGUAGAAAUGGUGGGGAUCUUUGCAAAAAGAAAUGGUGGCUAAAAUAAUGUUCGGAACUGUGGUUACAGUUUUAAUCACAAAAUUAAAAGUGUUAAAACAUAAAGAUGCAUGCCAAAAUUGAUUACACAAUUCAACCCUAGUCUACGUUGCUCAGAGUAAUAAUCUACUAUCUUUCUUAUAGUAUAACAAAUGAUUUAAGUUUUAA